CAGCAAAGCUAGAAGCCAAGACUCAGGAGACUUGGGACCAUUAACACGAGAUUUCCUAAGCUGGGCAUGUCAAAGUUUACCCAAGUGGAUUUCCUGCCCAGGGAGCUAGUGCCCUAUUCCAAGGAGGCCCAGACUCCUCUGGCUACACAUCAGUCCACAGGCCUUCGAACUGGGACUGAUGCUGUUGGCUCUCUUCAUUCUUCGGCAUCCAGAUUUGGAGAGGAACCACACCACUGGCUUUCCUGGGCCUUCAGCUUGCAGACAGCAGAGCAGCUCUGGGACUUCUCAGCAUCCAUCAUAGUACAUCAUGUGAAAUGCCGGGCUGGAUGAAAUACAAGC